CAGUAGCCACGGUAAUACAGAGGGUGCAAGCGUUAAUCGGAAUUACUGGGCGUAAAGCGCGCGUAGGUGGUUCGCCAAGUUGGAUGUGAAAUCCCCGGGCUCAACCUGGGAACUGCAUCCAAAACUGGCGAGCUAGAGUAUGGUAGAGGGUGGUGGAAUUUCCUGUGUAGCGGUGAAAUGCGUAGAUAUAGGAAGGAACAUCAGUGGCGAAGGCGACCACCUGGACUGAUACUGACACUGAGGUGCGAAAGCGUGGGGAGCAAACAGGAUUAGAGACCCGUGUAGUCCCUGUCUCUUAUAC
rnacentral:rRNA from 1 species